CGGGGGGUCGAGACAGUGGAGUGUUCCUGAUGCCAGCUCACGGAGGGAAUCCAGGGAAUUAGCUGAUGCCAAGAGCCUCUUUUUGGCCAGCACUUACUAAGCACCAGAGACACAGCGAGAAGCAGAAGCAUACGAGCACAUCAGUGUGAUUCUGCUGUGAUGAAGGGCAAGAGAGGGCUCACUUUCCGGCGUGACAUUCAAGCUAGCCCCGAGGCCUGAGCAGGACCCGCCCAGGGGAAGAUCUGGAGGAAAGCCAUCUGAACAUACAACAAGAGCAAAGGCCUGGUGGAGUCAAGACCACCUUGGCUGCCAGGUGGAAUGGUGGAAUAACUCAGGAGUCUGUCAGGUCUCUGAGAUGUCAAACGGUUCAAAACUAGAGACAGAGUGAUGGUUCUAAAGCCAAAGUCCAGGAGUCUCUAUGCAGCUGCAGUGAGACAGGAAGUG
rnacentral:lncRNA from 1 species